GGCAGCAACACAAAGCUGAUGGCCAAGUGUAUAGAAUACGUCUGCGUUGUCUACCAAUCCCAAAGUCCAGAGAAAGACACACCCGCGGGCUUAGAGCCCAGCCCCGUCAAAUCUGCAUGAGUGACAAUGGCGCCGAAGAUGAUAAUAGCAAUCGCAGAAACAGCCCCGAAGCAGUUGAAUACCACAGAUGCCCAGGCCUGUCAAAGAUCGCCCUCGCAAGUCUCAGGGACAAAGUUUCCAUAAGCACAGACGGCCAGACAACCCGAAGGAAGCAAGACGCGAUCGACGUCUU